AACACUCCCCAGCCACCCGUCUCCCAAAGGGCAGGGAAGCAGAGAGAGCCAAACCUGGAUGCCGACCUGUUGAUUUCUUCGUGCCUUGAAGCCGAGCAGCUGCCACAGGUGGGGUGGCCAUGCUUGGAGGCCGGAUCUGAGUCACUGCCCCAAGGAAAGCCCAUAUGGCCUCCCACAUGCCUUGGCGUGGUCAGCCUCCCUGCCAUGCCUUGGGCUGCUUGGGGAGCUGCACCCAAGGGGAAACCUUGUUCAGUUGAGCAGAGAAGGGAGCCUGAGAAAGCGGAGCUCUGAGCCAGGAAAAGAUGAAAUAGCUAACCUUUUGGAACACGUGACUAGUUAGGGAAUGCUGAAUGUACCUUUAAGGGCAGAGCAGAAGUAACGUUCGUACAGCUAGUCCUCGUUAGUAUAGUGAACCAACCUGGCAGGCAAGCGAGAUUUGCACCGGCGGUUGUCUAUCAUCCGCUUGGUCGCAGUCACGGACGAGCGUCCUC